rnacentral:lncRNA from 1 species
AAUCCUUGUGAUUUACCUAACUGGAUAUUAGGGACUGCAAAGCAGAAAAUAAGAUAAUUACUAUAUGCUGGUGUUGCAUCUCACCUGCGUUUAAUCUGAUCACUAACUUUAGAACCGAAGCCCUUCCCCUACCAGAAACUAUAACUCUACAAAACCAUUGCCAAGGGAUGAGAAUGAUACCAUUCAGCGGAACUACAAAAAAGAAAGUCAAACUGGAAAACCAGAAAACAGAUGGCUAAACUCUUUUCUAAACUUUUCCAAGAGCAGUGUUUAUGCAGGUUGACAGCCUCAGCUGUGACAAAGGAGAGAAAACAGAAAGACCUGGGAAAGUGCAAGGAUGAAGCAAUUAAGUUUGAGAAAUGUGAUGUGAGGUUUAGGAAAGGUGGAUUUUAGCCCCAACAGAAUUUUAGCUGGACAUGGACCUAAUACCUUGAGACUUCAUUGUUCCCAUUAAAGAAAAAAUUAUCUUCUGACUUUCUAGGGGUUUGGGGGUCCCAGAUAUCAAAGGAUUUAAACCACUUAGGAGGUGGUUUCCAUUGGAAGGAGAAGACUGUCUUUAGCCCACUGCAUCCCCUCAAGCCAUCCCAAGCUUUCUCUGUGCCAGGGACUGGACGCACGCUAAAAUACGAACCUGUGUGUGGACUUCUUUCUUAGGAGCCUUUGCACCAGCACAGAGACUCGAGCACGCAUAUCUUGAUGGACUCCAAAAUGCUCUUCCUAAUUCCUUCUCUGUGGCUCAUUCUUCAUCCUCUAUUUGCAUUGGUAUGCCAAUUCAUUGCUGACACUUCAGUGGAUGACUUGGAAGUGAUUUUUAAAAAAUUAUUACAUCAAUGUCAGUAUGACAAACUUUGCCAGUUCAAAUGUGUACUGCCUUGGAAGUGGCAUUGCAUGAGG